rnacentral:rRNA from 1 species
UGCAGUGGAAACUGGCAGACUUGAGUGCAGAAGAGGAGAUUGGAACUCCAGGUGUAGCGGUGAAAUGCGUAGAUAUAUGGAAGAACACCGGUGGCGAAAGCGGCUCUCUGGUCUGUAACUGACGCUGAGGUUCGAAAGCGUGGGUAGCAAACAGG